rnacentral:rRNA from 1 species
UGGGGAAUAUUGGACAAUGGGCGAAAGCCUGAUCCAGCCAUGCCGCGUGUGUGAAGAAGGCCUUAUGGUUGUAAAGCACUUUAAGUGGGGAGGAAAAGCUUAUGGAUAACACCCAUAGGUUCUGACGUUACCCACAGAAUAAGCACCGGCUAACUCUGUGCCAGCAGCCGCGGUAAUACAGAGGGUGCAAGCGUUAAUCGGAAUUACUGGGCGUAAAGCGAGCGUAGGUGGUUUAUUAAGUCAGAUGUGAAAUCCCUGGGCUUAACCUAGGAACUGCAUCUGAUACUGAUAAACUAGAGUAGGUGAGAGGAAAGUAGAAUUCCAGGUGUAGCGGUGAAAUGCGUAGAUAUCUGGAGGAAUACCGAUGGCGAAGGCAGCUUUCUGGCAUCAUACUGACACUGAGGUUCGAAAGCGUGGGUAGCAAACAGGAUUAGAUACCCUGGUAGUCCACGCCGUAAACGAUGUCUACCAGUCGUUGGGUCUUUUAAAGGCUUAGUGACGCAGUUAACGCGAUAAGUAGACCGCCUGGGGAGUACGGCCGCAAGGUUA